rnacentral:rRNA from 1 species
AGCGAACGCUGGCGGCAGGCUUAACACAUGCAAGUCGAGCGCCCCGCAAGGGGAGCGGCAGACGGGAGAGUAACACGUGGGAACGUACCCUUUAGUUCGGAACAACCCAGGGAAACUUGGGCUAAUACCGGAUACGUCCGUAAGGAGAAAGAUUUAUCGCUAAAGGAUCGGCCCGCGUCUGAUUAGCUAGUUGGUGAGGUAACGGCUCACCAAGGCGACGAUCAGUAGCUGGUCUGAGAGGAUGAUCAGCCUCACUGGGACUGAGACACGGCCCAGACUCCUACGGGAGGCAGCAGUGGGGAAUAUUGGAAGAUGGGCGCAAGCCUGAGCCAGCCAUGCCGCGUGUGUGAGGAAGGCCCUAGGGUUGUAAAGCCCUUUCGGCGGGGAAGAUAAUGACGGUACCCGCAGAAGAAGCCCCGGCUAACUUCGUGCCAGCAGCCGCAGUAA